ensembl:ncRNA C31H1.97 ncRNA
CUUCCCGCACGUGUUCCCAGUCGGCACCUCGUCAAUCAGCUGCCUUCUUCUUCUCAUCUAACCUGAUACCCAAAAUCUCAUUAUUCAUAGUCUGUUUCCCAUUGAAUGACAGACAACUUGUGUCCAUCCAUCCAUUCAAUAUUAAACUGCUUCUUCU